rnacentral:misc_RNA from 1 species
GCAAACUUGGUCAUUUAGAGGAAGUAAAAGUCGUAACAAGGUCUCCGUUGGUGAACCAGCGGAGGGAUCAUUACCGAGUCUUACAACUCCCAAACCCCUGUGAACUUAUACCUUUACUGUUGCUUCGGCGGGUUAACGCCCCGGAAGGCCCCAAAAAGGCCGCCGGAACCAGGCGCCCGCCGGGGGACCCAAACUCUCGUGUUUUCUUUGUAGUGGCAUGUCUGAGUGGAAUCAUAAACAAAUGAAUCAAAACUUUCAACAACGGAUCUCUUGGUUCUGGCAUCGAUGAAGAACGCAGC